rnacentral:lncRNA from 1 species
CAGUCACUAUGCUGUGAGGAAGCCCAUGUAACAAUGUGGAGAUUCUGAAGUGAGUUCUGGGUUCUAAGCCAACAGCCUAAAUACUUUAGGUCCAUUAUUUAGGUCCAAGUUCAACCACUAGACCUGUACUUCGCAAGCCUUCAGAGGAUUCCUGCUUUCAGCCCGCAAGCUUUUUCAGCUGAAGCCCCCAGUAUCAUGGAACAGAAUCAGAUUAUUUCCACUGAGUCCUUUUCAAUUUCUUAACCCACAGGAUUUAUGAGCAUUAUGAAGUCAUUAUGGCUUUCUGCCACUAGGCUGAGAGUGGACCACAUAUACAGAAAUAAAAAACUAUUAAUAGAAAAAUAUAUUGCAAACAUCUAAUCCUCAAACCCCAUUCAAGUUUUGCCAACUACCCUCCAUCCUAUCAAAUAUUCCUUAUACCAAAAAGAUCCAGUUCAAAAAUAAGUGUUGCAUUUAUUUUUUAACCUCUUUUGAUCUGGAAUAGCUCCUCACACCGUCUUUCAUGACUUUAGUGCUUUGGAAGACUACAGAUGUUUAGGCUCAUCUGAAAUUUCCCUGCCGUCACCUGGGAAUCAACCAUUUCUUCAGGGAGUCCUAGUUUCUUUUAGCGUAUAGCCACCAAUUUCUACUGAGUAUUUAUCUACUAUAUGGCAGGUCAAGUCUGCAUUCUGGGAUAAAGUGUUGACACAAUCUUGAAUCAGUGCCUAAGGAGUUCACAAGUCCAGAGAGGGGAUAGCGCAUAGAGAAGAUAAAGCAGAUGUCCAUCCAAAGACUUGUAUGUGAAUGUUCAUAGCAACUUUAUUUGUAAUAGCCAAAACCUGAAAGCAACCCAAAUGUAUGUUAAGAAGCGAAUGGAUACAUAAAUUGUGGCAUAUGCAUACAAUGGGAUACCCAGCAAUAAAAAGGAAUGAACUAUUCAAGUAGGCAACAAAAGAUAAGAGAGCUGAAGAAGAGUGAAAAUAAAGAAACUUCUGCAAAGCCACACAUGUAAAAUAUAUUUCUGGCAACAGUGGAGAAGAAUGAUAGGAAGAGAAUCAUACUGGAAUAGUAUAGUCCUUUGGAAUGUUGUUGUAAUGAAGGCAAGAAGAAAAAUGAUCUUGAAGGCAAGAAGAAAAAUCAUAUUGAAGGAAAGGAGAGAUGAGUUUACCAAAUAUAAUCUCAGAAUUGUUCUGUAAAUUUCAUUUCUGCUUUAGCAGCCAUAAAGAGCUCCAUUUAUUACAGUAGGAACAGAGGCAACAGCAACAUGGGUGGCUGGCAGUGAUAGAAAGGAUUUUAGUUUUGAUACAUGGAAUUUGACAUGCUUUUUGAAAAUCUUCAGAUGGUGAUGUACAAACUACUGCAGGAACAUAUGAGGAAAGAUGAGAGAAUCCACAGACUCUUUGAAGGAAGCAGAUUGCUCCUGCAGGGCCUGGGAGACAACCAAACACUGGGUCCUUAGGGAGAGGUGCCAGAGGAAUUGGAAAAAGGCCACAGGCAGAAGGAAGGCUCCAGCUAAACUUGAUUGACCCAUCAUUUGGAUGACCCGAAACCACAGAUGCAAUAGAAGAAUGGAACAAAUUUGUACAUUUUGUCAAUAAAAACUUUAUCUUCA